rnacentral:rRNA from 1 species
ACGCGUUAAAUCGACCGCCUGGGGAGUACGGCCGCAAGGUUAAAACUCAAAUGAAUUGACGGGGGCCCGCACAAGCGGUGGAGCAUGUGGUUUAAUUCGAUGCAACGCGAAGAACCUUACCUACUCUUGACAUCCAGAGAACUUAGCAGAGAUGCUUUGGUGCCUUCGGGAACUCUGAGACAGGUGCUGCAUGGCUGUCGUCAGCUCGUGUUGUGAAAUGUUGGGUUAAGUCCCGCAACGAGCGCAACCCUUAUCCUUUGUUGCCAGCGAUUCGGUCGGGAACUCAAAGGAGACUGCCGGUGAUAAACCGGAGGAAGGUGGGGAUGACGUCAAGUCAUCAUGGCCCUUACGAGUAGGGCUACACACGUGCUACAAUGGCGUAUACAAAGAGAAGCGACCUCGCGAGAGCAAGCGGAACUCAUAAAGUACGUCGUAGUCCGGAUUGGAGUCUGCAACUCGACUCCAUGAAGUCGGAAUCGCUAGUAAUCGUAGAUCAGAAUGCUACGGUGAAUACGUUCCCGGGCCUUGUACACACCGCCCGUCACACCAUGGGAGUGGGUUGCAAAAGAAGUAGGUAGCUUAACCUUCGGGAGGGCGCUUACCACUUUGUGAUUCAUGACUGGGGUGAAGUCGUAACAAGGUAACCGUAGGGGAACCUGCGGUUGGAUCACCUCCUUA